rnacentral:rRNA from 1 species
GAUGAACGCUGGCGGCGUGCCUAAUACAUGCAAGUCGAGCGAACAGACGAGGAGCUUGCUCCUCUGACGUUAGCGGCGGACGGGUGAGUAACACGUGGAUAACCUACCUAUAAGACUGGGAUAACUUCGGGAAACCGGAGCUAAUACCGGAUAAUAUAUUGAACCGCAUGGUUCAAUAGUGAAAGACGGUUUUGCUGUCACUUAUAGAGGGAUCCGCGCCGCAUUAGCUAGUUGGUAAGGUAACGGCUUACCAAGGCAACGUUGCGUAGCCGACCUGAGAGGGUGAUCGGCCACACUGGAACUGGGCCACGGUCCAGACUCCUACGGGAGGCAGCAGUAGGGAAUCUUCCGCAAUGGGCGAAAGCCUGACGGAGCAACGCCGCGUGAGUGAUGAAGGUCUUCGGAUCGUAAAACUCUGUUAUUAGGGAAGAACAAAUGUGUAAGUAACUAUGCACGUCUUGACGGUACCUAAUCAGAAAGCCACGGCUAACUACGUG